GUUGGGUCACAGGAGCCUCAGGAUGGUGGGGGAGAUCCACAGAGAAAGGAAGCUCUAGAAAAACCCACUCAAGUUUGUAACUCACAACAAUCCUCCUGCAAGCAUGGUGAAGGUUGCUGAAGGUACUCUGCCAAGAGGACAUUCAAUUCCAGCUGAUGAUGGAAUGAAAGCAUACAUAUCACCAGGUUCCAGAUGCUACCAUGAUGCCAACCGGACUUCCCUGGACAGACAACCCCACCAAUGUAUACUGAAGCUCCGAUUCCCCAGAAGCCAGCCCCACUAGGGAAUGAGAGAGACAGGCUGGGAGUAUGGAUUGACCUGCCAACGCCCAUGUUCAGUGGGGAAGCAAUUACAGAAGCCAGACCUUCCACCUUCUGCAUCCCACAAUGAUCUUGGGUCCAUAUUCCCAGAGGGAUAAAGAAUAGGAAAGCUAUCAGGGGAGGGGAUUGGAUAUGGAGUUCUGGUGGUGGGAAUUAUGUGGAGUUGUACUCCUCUUAUCCUAUGGUUUUUGUCAGUGUUUCCUUUUUAUAAAUAAAAAUUUAAAAAAAA